ACGCACGCUGGCGGCGUGCUUAACCCCUGCCAGUCGAACGGAAAGGCCCUGCUUGCAGGGUACUCGAGUGGCGAACGGGUGAGUAACACGUGGGUGAUCUGCCCUGCACUUCGGGAUAAGCCUGGGAAACUGGGUCUAAUACCGGAUAGGAGCCAUUUUUAGUGUGAUGGUUGGAAAGUUUUUUCGGUGUAGGAUGAGCUCGCGGCCUAUCAGCUUGUUGGUGGGGUAAUGGCCUACCAAGGCGGCGACGGGUAGCCGGCCUGAGAGGGUGGACGGCCACAUUGGGACUGAGAUACGGCCCAGACUCCUACGGGAGGCAGCAGUGGGGAAUAUUGCACAAUGGGCGCAAGCCUGAUGCAGCGACGCCGCGUGGGGGAUGACGGCCUUCGGGUUGUAAACUCCUUUCGCUAGGGACGAAGCUUUUUGUGACGGUACCUAGAUAAGAAGCACCGGCUAACUACGUG
rnacentral:rRNA from 1 species